rnacentral:rRNA from 1 species
GAUGAACGCUGGCGGCGUGCCUAAUACAUGCAAGUCGAACGCUUUGUGGUUCAACUGAUUUGAAGAGCUUGCUCAGAUAUGACGAUGGACAUUGCAAAGAGUGGCGAACGGGUGAGUAACACGUGGGAAACCUACCUCUUAGCAGGGGAUAACAUUUGGAAACAGAUGCUAAUACCGUAUAACAAUGACAACCGCAUGGUUGUUAUUUAAAAGAUGGUUCUGCUAUCACUAAGAGAUGGUCCCGCGGUGCAUUAGCUAGUUGGUAAGGUAAUGGCUUACCAAGGCGAUGAUGCAUAGCCGAGUUGAGAGACUGAUCGGCCACAAUGGGACUGAGACACGGCCCAUACUCCUACGGGAGGCAGCAGUAGGGAAUCUUCCACAAUGGGCGAAAGCCUGAUGGAGCAACGCCGCGUGUGUGAUGAAGGGUUUCGGCUCGUAAAACACUGUUGUAAGAGAAGAAUGACAUUGAGAGUAACUGUUCAAUGUGUGACGGUAUCUUACCAGAAAGGAACGGCUAAAUACGUGCCAGCAGCCGCGGUAAUACGUAUGUUCCAAGCGUUAUCCGGAUUUAUUGGGCGUAAAGCGAGCGCAGACGGUUAUUUAAGUCUGAAGUGAAAGCCCUCAGCUCAACUGAGGAAUUGCUUUGGAAACUGGAUGACUUGAGUGCAGUAGAGGAAAGUGGAACUCCAUGUGUAGCGGUGAAAUGCGUAGAUAUAUGGAAGAACACCAGUGGCGAAGGCGGCUUUCUGGACUGUAACUGACGUUGAGGCUCGAAAGUGUGGGUAGCAAACAGGAUUAGAUACCCUGGUAGUCCACACCGUAAACGAUGAGUGCUAGGUGUUUGAGGGUUUCCGCCCUUAAGUGCCGCAGCUAACGCAUUAAGCACUCCGCCUGGGGAGUACGACCGCAAGGUUGAAACUCAAAGGAAUUGACGGGGACCCGCACAAGCGGUGGAGCAUGUGGUUUAAUUCGAAGCAACGCGAAGAACCUUACCAGGUCUUGACAUCCCUUGACAACUCCAGAGAUGGAGCGUUCCCUUCGGGGACAAGGUGACAGGUGGUGCAUGGUUGUCGUCAGCUCGUGUCGUGAGAUGUUGGGUUGAGUCCCGCAACGAGCGCAACCCUUAUUACUAGUUGCCAGCAUUCAGUUGGGCACUCUAGUGAGACUGCCGGUGACAAACCGGAGGAAGGUGGGGAUGACGUCAAAUCAUCAUGCCCCUUAUGACCUGGGCUACACACGUGCUACAAUGGCGUAUACAACGAGUUGCCAACCCGCGAGGGUGAGCUAAUCUCUUAAAGUACGUCUCAGUUCGGAUUGUAGGCUGCAACUCGCCUACAUGAAGUCGGAAUCGCUAGUAAUCGCGGAUCAGCACGCCGCGGUGAAUACGUUCCCGGGUCUUGUACACACCGCCCGUCACACCAUGAGAGUUUGUAACACCCAAAGCCGGUGGGGUAACCUUCGGGAGCCAGCCGUCUAAGGUGGGACAGAUGAUUAGGGUG